rnacentral:lncRNA from 1 species
GGGCGGCUUCCAAAAAAUAUUAAAAUACUGUAAUACAUCAAACAUUAAAAGCUUCCCUAAACAGGGCUGCCUUCAGAUGUCUUCUAAAAGUCUGGUAGUUUUGUUCUCUUUGACAUCUGGUGGGAGGGCAUUCCACAGGGAAGGCGCCACUGCCUGGUUCCCUGUAACUUGGCUUCUCGCAGUGAGGGAACCGCCAGAAGGCCCUCGGUGCUGGACCUCAGUGUCCGGAUAGAACGAUGGGGGUGGAGACGCUCCUUCAGGUAUACAGGACCGAGGCCGUUUAGGGCUUUAAAGGUCAGCACCAACACUUUGAAUUGUGCUCGGAAACGUACUGGGAGCCAAUGUAGGUCUUUCAAGACCGGUGUUAUGUGGCCCCGGCGGCCACUCCCAGUCAUCAGUCUAGCUGCCGCAUUCUGAAUUAGUUGUAGUUUCCAGGUCACCUUCAAAGGUAGCCCCAUGUAGAGCGCAUUGCAGUAGUCCAAGCGGGAGAUAACCAGAGCAUGCACCACUCUGGCGAGGCAGUCCACAAGCAGAUAUGGUCUCAGCCUGCGUACCAGAUGGAGCUGGUAAAUAGCUGCCCUGGACACAGAUUUGACCUGUGCCUCCAUGGACAGCUGUGAGUCCAAAAUGACUCCCAGGCUGCGCACCUGGUCCUUCAGGGGCACAGUUACCCCAUUCAGGACCAGGGAAUCCUCCACACCUGCCCGCCUCCUGUCCCCCCAAAACAGUACUUCUGUCUUGUCAGGAUUCAAACUUAAUCUGUUAGCCGCCAUCCAACCUCCAACCGCCUCCAGGCACUCACACAGGACCUUCACUGCCUUCACUGGUUCUGAUUUGAAAGAGAGGUAGAGCUGGGUAUCAUCUGCAUACUGAUGAACACCCAGCCCAAAUCCUCUGAUGAUCUCUCCCAGCGGCUUCAUGUAGAUGUUGAAAAGCAUGGGGGAAAGUACGGAACCCUGAGACACCCCACAAGUGAGAGCCCAGAGGUCUGAACACUCAUCCCCCCCCCACCACUUUCUGAACACGGCCCAGGAGGAAGGAGUGAAACCACUGUAUGACAGUGCCCCCAGCUCCCAGCCCCUCUAGACGGUCCAGAAGGAUGUUAUGGUCGAUUGUAUCAAAGGCCGCUGAGAGAUCCAGCAGAACUAGGAAACAACUCUCACCUUUGUCCCUAGCUCGCCGGAGAUCAUCAACCAGUGCGACCAAGGCAGUUUCAGUCCCAUGAUGAGGCCUGAAUCCCGACUGGAAGGGCUCCAAAUGGAAGGGCUCUAGACAUAGUUGUCCCCCAUCUCCCAUUAUCCCUGACCAAGCGCCAUGGUGGCUGGUGGGAGUCAGAAGUCCAACAGCAGCUGAAGGCUGCAGUUGACCCACACAAGGUAUCCUUUUCAGUCUUUGCCAUGUGAAUCCAUCUCUACAAAGCUGCUUACUGUUUCCCAGAGCCAGUCUCAAGCAUGUCACUCUCUCUUGCCUAACCUCGGUGCUGGACCUCAGUGUCCGGAUAGAACGAUGGGGGUGGAGACGCUCCUUCAGGUAUACAGGACCGAGGGUUGUUGUUUUUGUUAAGGUGACAUAGGAGGCAUGUGGUCUUCUCAGAAGGAGGGCGGGGUGAGAUGGUAAGAAAGUGUGUGUGUUAAAAACAGAGUGGUUUACAAGAAUUCCAAAUAAAACAUACAAUUAAAAACUAUGUAAAAUGUUAAAAUC